rnacentral:rRNA from 1 species
UUUUUUUAAUUAAUAAGAAUUAUAUUUGUAAUUUAUUUUUUUAUAAAAGUAUUUUAUUUAUUUUUUGUUUUAGUAUUAAGUAAAAAUAAAUUUUUAGAUUUAUAGUUAAUUAGUAUUGUAAAAGAAAUUUAAUAAAUUUAAAAAAGAUUUAUUUAGUACCUUUUGUAUCAGGGUUAAUUAAAAUUAUUAAUAUAUUAUUAAUUUCUCAAAAUUUAUAGAGUUAAUUUUAUUAUUAAGUUAUUGUUUAAAAAAUAUUUAAAAAAUAAUUUUAGUUUUUAGAUUUAAUUUCGUUAUAAUAUAUUUAGUUAUUUAAGAUUUAAAUUAAAUUUAUAAUUUUAAUAGUUAUAUUUAUUUAUUUUAUAAUUUAUAUUUUAAAUUUAAAUUAUUUUAGGGAUAAGCUUAAAAUUUGUAUAUAAUAAUUUAUAAAGAAUUAAUAUUUGAUAGGAAUAAAAAUUUUUAUUUAAGUUUGUAAAAAUUUGUUAUUAAUUUAAAUUUAAUUUAUUAUAUUUUUAUUUAUUUUUUAUAUUAAAUUUUAUAAUAUAAUAUUUUUAUUAUAGUAAUAAUGAUUAAAUUAGUAUAAUUAAUAUUUAUUAAUUAUGAAUUCGGCAAAAAUUUAUUUUCAUCUGUUUAACAAAAACAUUGUAUUAAUUUUUAUUUAAUAUAGGAUCUGCUCAAUGAAAAUUUUUUAAAUAGCUGCAGUAUUUUGACUGUGCAAAGGUAGCAUAAUAAUUAGUCUUUUAAUUGGGGACUUGUAUGAAAGAUUUGAUGAAAAAUAAACUUUAUUAUUAAUAUAUUUAAAAUUUUAUUUUUAAGUAAAAAAGCUUAAAUUAUUUAAAGGGACGAUAAGACCCUAUAAAACUUUAUAAUUAUUAAAUAUUUAUAUUUAUUUGUUUAAUUAUUAUUUAAAUUUUAAUGAUUAUUUUAUUGGGGUGAUAAAAAAAUUUUAUUAACUUUUUUUAAAUUUUUACAUUAUUUAAUGAAUUUUUGAAUUAAAAUUUUUAAUUAUAGGAAAAAGUUACUUUAGGGAUAACAGCGUAAUUAAUUUUUUAAGUUCUAAUUUUAAAAUUAGU